UGAAGUCGUACCGUAAGGAGCGGUGGACUGGUUACGAGUGAGAAUGUUGGCAUCAGUAGCGAGAUGUGGGUGAGAAUCCCACAGGCCGAAAACCUAAGGUUUCCUCAGGAAGGUUCGUCCGCUGAGGGUUAGUCGGGACCUAAGCCGAGGCCGAAAGGCGUAGGUGAUGGACAACUGGUUGAUAUUCCAGUACCACUACCAUCGUUAUUAUCGAUGGCGUGACGCAGGAGGAUAGUGUGUGCUAGCUAUUGGAUGCUAGUCUAAGCGUUUAGGCAGUGAGAGUAGGCAAAUCCGCUCUCAUAAUGCUGAGGCGUGAUGGGGAAGGUUCUACGGAACCGAAGUACAUGAUUCCACGCUGCCAAGAAAAGCGUCUAGAGAGAGAAGUAGUGCCCGUACCGCAAACCGACACAGGUAGGUGAGGAGAGAAUCCUAAGGCCGGCGGAAGAAUUACAGUUAAGGAACUCGGCAAAUUGACCCCGUAAGUUCGCGAGAAGGGGUGCCUACGAGAGUAGGCCGCAGAGAAUAGGCCCAAGCAACUGUUUAGCAAAAACACAGGUCUCUGCUAAAGCGUAAGCUGAUGUAUAGGGGCUGACGCCUGCCCGGUGCUGGAAGGUUAAGGGGAACACUUAGCGCAAGCGAAGGUGUGAACUUAAGCCCCAGUAAACGGCGGCCGUAACUAUAACGGUCCUAAGGUAGCGAAAUUCCUUGUCAGGUAAGUUCUGACCCGCACGAAUGGCGUAAUGACUUGGGCACUGUCUCAACUGUAAAUCCGGCGAAGUUGUAGUGCGAGUGAAGAUGCUCGCUACCCGCGAUUGGACGGAAAGACCCCGUAGAGCUUUACUGUAGCUUAGCAUUGAGUUUUGGUAUUGUCUGUACAGGAUAGGUGGGAGACUAGGAAACCAGGGCGUCAGCCUUGGUGGAGUCAACCUUGGGAUACCACCCUGACAGUACUGAAAUUCUAACUGGCGGCCAUGAAUCUGGUCACAGGACAUUGUUAGGUGGGCAGUUUGACUGGGGCGGUCGCCUCCUAAAAAGUAACGGAGGCGCCCAAAGGUUCCCUCAGAACGGUCGGAAAUCGUUCGAAGAGUGCAAAGGCAGAAGGGAGCCUGACUGCGACACCCACAAGUGGAGCAGGGACGAAAGUCGGGCUUAGUGAUCCGGUGGU
rnacentral:rRNA from 1 species